GCCCGAGUGGCUCAGUCGGUUGAGCGUUCGACUUCGGCGCGGACCGUGAUCUCACGGUUCAUGGGUUCGAGUCCCGCGUCGGGCU
rnacentral:tRNA from 1 species